UGGAAGCCAAAAGUCUUCAAUACUCAUUUUCCUUCAUCCCUCCAAUCUCCCAAGCAGGCAGAGUCUGAGUGGGCUGGCCCUGAGCAGGCGGUAGCACGCCAUACCGCAAAAGAGUGCGAAGCACAGCUCUGCCCAGCAAUUUCUGUGUGAUCUUGAGCAACAGUCCUAUCCUCUCUAUGCCUCAUCUCAGAGACAGGACCCCACGCAUCACAGACUGUGUCUUCAAGCUAAAUCAGAGGCAUCAACCAGAGCCCUGUGAGUGACUGAGGGACUGGGCAGGCCAGGACGCUCACGAGGACGGAGGGCUUUCAUCCAGAUACAUCCAGAAGCUGAAGGAUAUUUUGAAUCGAGCCCACUCUUUCGCUCUGAAAUCCCCUACGGAAAGGGGAGGGGGCACAUCAGGAGGCAGAAGAGUUUCCUGAAGAACCCAAAAUUGGCCCCACUGUGGCAACAGAGAUGCCCUCCCAGGCCUGCUUUUCCCCAGGACCUGGGCCGAGGCAGGCAGGACAGGCUCAGCUAGGAAAUCUCUUUUGUUUCUCCAAUCACUCCUUGCCCCAUUUGCUGUGGGACCCGCUAGGGCUGUGGCAGAUGCCCUGGAAGCAUCACUCUGGGUGCUCUCUGGAGUCCUCCGGGUGCUCCCAGCCCAGGCCGG
rnacentral:lncRNA from 10 species